UAAUAUGCUCUUUAUGACAGGUUACUACUAAGGCAAUGCAGCAAACUAAUUUCAUCCACAAGGCACCUAAAAAGAUUUUUGAGGCUCCCUUACUGCCACUCCCAAAGAGGAGCACUGCAAAGUGGCUAGAAUUUCAUGCAGUCUGGUUUAAUUCAUAUGGAGCAUCUGCUCUCAAUUAUGUUUGGAGCACUCCUCUAGCUUUUUGACCAUUUUGUCAUUUUAGGUGUAAAUGCCUUUUGUAAAUUAUAAGGAUCAUGAUCAAAGACAUAAAUUAAUGCAAUGCCCCAAUGUUACAAUUA